GUAAACUUUUUUUUUUUCCUUCUUCGCUGAUAGUCAAAUAAACUUUAAAAAAUAUAUAUUUGGAAUCUGAACUUACGAAAGCUUUCUUAUGAACCAUUUUUCAGAUCGUUCACCCUGAUCAUUAAUCGCAAAAGUUCAGGCUAUUAGAAAGAUACAACUAAUUCACUUAAAGCGUACAGAUAUAGUACUCGUGGGUCUUGAUUGUGACUCGGCCCAACCAGCUUUACACUAUUUCGAACAUGAUUCGACUCAAGUCAACCUACCUUCAUUUUGAACGUGACUCGGCUCAACCUAGCCUCUCGUCACAGGACAGAAUGUUGACCCUUCAAAUUAACACCAUCGAGUAUUAUAUUUCAUCCAUUUAAAAUGAUGAGUAUUCAGGCAUAAUGUAAAGAAUAAUGAAAGACAUAUUCUUUCAAUUUAGAAGGAAUAUAUUUU
rnacentral:lncRNA from 1 species